GAAAUGCGAUAAGUAAUGUGAAUUGCAGAAUUCAGUGAAUCAUCGAAUCUUUGAACGCACAUUGCGCCCUUUGGCAUUCCUUAGGGCAUGCCUGUUCGAGCGUCACUAAAAACCCCAUCACUCCAACUGUGGUGUUGGCGGCAGUGGUGCCAGCACCGAGGAUUCUAUCCCCGUCGGCCCACUCCACCAAAAUGCAUCGGGCGGACAUACUGAUCUCACCAAACUGACUUUGUAAAAUCAAUCAGCCAGGAGUGACGUUGUGUCCUGCCAAACCCUUGGGCCCCCAUCCCAAGCGGUACAAGUAAUGUGUUGACCUCGGAUCAGGUAGGGAUACCCGCUGAACUUAA
rnacentral:misc_RNA from 1 species